rnacentral:rRNA from 1 species
UACGUAGGUGGCAAGCGUUGUCCGGAAUUAUUGGGCGUAAAGCGCGCGCAGGCGGUCCUUUAAGUCUGCUGUGAAAGCCCACGGCUCAACCGUGGAGGGUCAUUGGAAACUGGGUGACUGGAGUGUAGGAGAGGAAAGUGGAAUUCCACGUGUAGCGGUGAAAUGCGUAGAGAUGUGGAGGAACACCAGUGGCGAAGGCGACUUUCUGGCCUAUAACUGACGCUGAGGCGCGAAAGCGUGGGGAGCAAACAGG